rnacentral:rRNA from 1 species
GACGAACGCUGGCGGCGGGCUUAACACAUGCAAGUCGAACGAGUGGCGAACGGGUGAGUAACACGGGGGUGACCUGCCCUGCACUUCGGGAUAAUCCUGGGAAACUGGGUCUACUACCGGCCAGUUUGGGAUGGGCCCGCGGCCUAUCAGCUUGUUGGUGGGGUAAUGGCUACCAAGGCGCGACGGUUAGCCGGCCUGGGAGGGUGGACGGCCUCAUUGGGACUGAGACACGGCCCAGACUCCUACGGGAGGCAGCAGUGGGGAAUAUUGCACAAUGGGCGGAAGCCUGACCGAGCAACGCCGCGUGAGUGAAGAAGGUUUUCGGAUCGUAAACCUCUGUUGUUAGCAAAGCGGUAUCUAACCAGAAAGCCACGGCUAACUACGUGCCAGCCGCCGCGGUAAUAC